rnacentral:rRNA from 1 species
AACGAGCGCUGGCGGCAGGCCUAACACAUGCAAGUCGAGCGAGGACUUCGGUCCUAGCGGCGGACGGGUGAGUAACGCGUGGGAACGUGCCCUUUGCUUCGGAAUAGCCCUGGGAAACUGGGAGUAAUACCGGAUGAGCCCUUUGGGGGAAAGAUUUAUCGGCGAAGGAUCGGCCCGCGUUGGAUUAGGUAGUUGGUGGGGUAAUGGCCUACCAAGCCGACGAUCCAUAGCUGGUUUGAGAGGAUGAUCAGCCACACUGGGACUGAGACACGGCCCAGACUCCUACGGGAGGCAGCAGUGGGGAAUCUUAGACAAUGGGGGAAACCCUGAUCGAGCCAUGCCGCGUGAGCGAUGAAGGCCUUAGGGUUGUAAAGCUCUUUCAGCUGGGAAGAUAAUGACGGUACCAGCAGAAGAAGCCCCGGCUAACUCCGUG